AUGCGGGUGCCAGCUUCGUGGGCAGGCUUCUUGGCGACGGGGUGGGGCGGGCACAGACGGGCCCUGGCCCGGAGCACCGGGCUUCCCCUUGCUUGUCGUCGGGGCUUGUUUCCCCGGGGCCCAGCGGGAGGGGCCGGCACGGCCGGGCUGUGGGCAGCCAGUGAGGGCACCUGCACGCCGUGGCCGGAGGCCUGGUCUGCAAAGCCUGGUGCGGCCUCUACGCAGCCACGACAGGGCGCAGCCGCCGCCGUAUCCACCUGCCUCGGCGGGCCUGAGGCACCCGGGUGGGCUCGAGCCUCGGGGCCGUCCCCGAGACCCACCCUGGUGUCCCCAGCCCCCGAGGGGCCGCAGUACUCACCAGCCAGGGAGCCGGCCAGGCCGGGCGCGGGCCCGAGCCCACAGGGGCCGGUCCGAGUGGACACCGAGCCAGGGGAGCCCAAAGCUGGCCUCACAGCCCAUCACCAGGCCUCGCCCCGACUGCGGCCGAAGCACCCCGCAGAGACAGGAGAGGAACCCGGGCAGAGGGCCGGGGCCGGAGCACGCGCGGGGGUGCGGGAGGUGCCGGGGCGCAGGGGGAGCAGCCAGUCAGGCCCGCAAGCUUCCAGACGGAGGGCGGAAAUCCCAGAGCCCGAGGAGCAAUCCAAGGAGAAGCGAAAGCCCAGGCCGGAGCGGGGCAGCCCGGCAGCCCGAGCAGCGCGGAGCCCGGGGCGACUUACUAAGUCUAGUGAGGGGCGGCUCAGAAUCUGGCCACUUCCACUUCGGCGCUGCAAGGAAACACAGGGCUCCGUUGGUGGCGGGCGCGGGGGCACGGCCGGGCAGCCCAGCCCCCAGGCACAGGACGCAGGCCGGUCCGCUGAGGCGCCCGGGCCCCGCGGUGGGCCUGGAAGGACGCGCCACACUCAGCUCAGUGCAAGAAAUAAAACUUUUAUUCAAACGACUGCAGUACAGGGCACAAUUAAGAUUAAAAAAAAAAAAAAGAAAGGAAACGAAAGUAUUUUGAGCACUUUACAUCUUCAUACAAGUGUCGCAGUUUUGUGUCUACAUUCAUCCACUGAGCAUGGAAUCCCCUGGAUUUGA
rnacentral:lncRNA from 1 species